AGCUUUGCGCAGUGGCAGUAUCGUAGCCAAUGAGGUUUAUCCGAGGCGCGAUUAUUGCUAAUUGAAAACAUUUCCCAUGUGAUGAGGGUGAUCUGCUUUACUCAGAGUCUACUGACUUAAAUGUUAGUCAUAUCUAAAAAAUACCUCCAUAG
rnacentral:snRNA from 1 species